ACGUAGGAGGCAAGCGUUAUCCGGAGUUACUGGGCGUAAAGGGCGUGCAGGCGGUUGGCUAAGUUCGUUGUGAAAGCGCCCAGGCUUAACCGGGCGAGGACAAUGAAGACUGGUCAGCUAGAGGACGGUAGAGGGACGCGGAAUUCCGGGUGUAGCGGUGAAAUGUGCAGAGAUCCGGAGGAACACCAGCGCCGAAAGGGGCGUCCUGGACGACAAUUGACGCUGAGACGCGACAGCGUGGGGAGCGAACGG
rnacentral:rRNA from 1 species